GCUCCUUUAACUCAGUGGUAGAGUGGGCGAUUGCAGUAACACUCUGAUAGGAGUCGUGAACAAUUAUCGCCAAGUCGCUUGUUCGAACCAGGCAGGGAGCU